CUUGUUGAUUGCUUCCAGAUGUGUUCUUUAGUAUAGCAAGGGCAUCUGGGUAGCCAUCCAUGUUGUAAUCUCCAAUAUGAAGGGUCAUCGGAAAUGAAACUUCCGAUGUAGUUUUGUCCGUCUGAUUUUUCACAAAGCCCCAAAGUGUAUCUUUAUUUCUGAAGUCUUGCAAGACUGGAAUCCACUGAUCCAUUCCUAGCUUAGUUAAGUAGAUGGCACUUUUCUGACAGUUUAUGUCUUCACAUACUGGUAACAAAUGUUCACUUUGUCCAUCACCAUCAAAAUCUGCAAAUACAGACUGUCCAACAACCACUGCACCGCUGGGCUUUGCUUUACUUCUUUCAGGCUUAGAGAAGUUCCCAUCCUUAUUUAUCCAUGUCUCAAACUGAAUGUCCGGAUUUGAGGUAGUAAGGAACAAAUCAGCUGUGAAGUCAUUAUUUAAGUCUAUAAAUGCAUGAGAGUGUGGUAUAUACAUUCUACUCUGGGUGUCCAGCGCAGCAUGCCGUGAUAAGUUCCCGCCUAUCAGUAUCUGUGGCUUAUCUGAAUCACUUGUGACACCAAAGACAUCAGGAAUCAAAUCACCAUUAAAGUCCAUUACUAGAGGCUCAUCAUGAAAAGUCUUAUUUAUCAUAGUUUUAUGGUUAAGAUCUAAUGUUUGGUUGUGUCCCCAGAAAAUGAACACUGACAGUUCAUCUUUGCCAUGAUUUUGUGUUCGGGUAGUCAGGAGGACAUCCAUUUGUGAGUCACCAUCAUAGUCUCCCGGAACUACACUGGUUAUGAUAACACCUAGAGAUUUCAUUGGUAACUUAACACGAGGCUUAAAGUAAGGUUCCUUUUGGUCUGCCAAAAAGAUAAUCAAUUCAUUUCCGCCGCGCAACACGAACAGGUCCGUCUGCUUGUCCGAGUUGAAGUCUCCGAAGGCCGCCGGCGUGCCGUAGGCCUCGGCGCCGAACAGCUGCGCCGUGACGUUCUGUAGCGCGGCGCCGUGCCCCGCCAGGGCGAGCAGUAGCGUGAGCAGCGCCAGCCCCGGCGCGAGGCGGCAUCCCGCCAUGGUGCGCCGCUCCGGCCCCGGCUCCCGCCGCCCCGCCCGCC
rnacentral:lncRNA from 1 species